AUACGGAGGAUGCAAGCGUUAUCCGGAUUUAUUGGGUUUAAAGGGUGCGCAGGCGGCGCGAUAAGUCAGCGGUGAAAUGUACCGGCUCAACUGUGGGCGUGCUUUUGAAACUGGAGGGCUUGAGUACUGGAGGGGCAAGCGGAAUUCCUGGUGUAGCGGUGAAAUGCAUAGAUAUCAGGAAGAACACCGGAGGCGAAGGCGGCUUGCUGGACAGAGACUGACGCUGAGGCUCGAAGGCGUGGGGAGCAAACAGGAUUAGAUACCCUGGUAGUCCACGCGGUAAACGAUGAAUGCUAGGUAUUGGAUUCCGUAGGGAUUCGGUGCCGCAGUUAACGCAAUAAGCAUUCCACCUGGGGAGUACGUUCGCAAGAAUGAAACUCAAAUGAAUUGACGGG
rnacentral:rRNA from 1 species